GCCCAGCUUGCUGGGUGGAUUAGUGGCGAACGGGUGAGUAACACGUGAGUAACCUGCCCUUAACUCUGGGAUAAGCCUGGGAAACUGGGUCUAAUACCGGAUAGGAGCGUCCACCGCAUGGUGGGUGUUGGAAAGAUUUAUCGGUUUUGGAUGGACUCGCGGCCUAUCAGCUUGUUGGUGAGGUAAUGGCUCACCAAGGCGACGACGGGUAGCCGGCCUGAGAGGGUGACCGGCCACACUGGGACUGAGACACGGCCCAGACUCCUACGGGAGGCAGCAGUGGGGAAUAUUGCACAAUGGGCGCAAGCCUGAUGCAGCGACGCCGCGUGAGGGAUGACGGCCUUCGGGUUGUAAACCUCUUUCAGUAGGGAAGAAGCGAAAGUGACGGUACCUGCAGAAGAAGCACCGGCUAACUACGUGCCAGCAGCCGCGGUAAUACGUAGGGUGCGAGCGUUAUCCGGAAUUAUUGGGCGUAAAGAGCUCGUAGGCGGUUUGUCGCGUCUGUCGUGAAAGUCCGGGGCUUAACCCCGGAUCUGCGGUGGGUACGGGCAGACUAGAGUGCAG
rnacentral:rRNA from 1 species